UUAGUCAAAGCCAAAAAGAGGCUUUUUACUGUUAAUAAAAGAACUGAACUAAUUUCUGACUAUU
rnacentral:tRNA from 1 species